GGGACCAAGCGUUGUCCGGAUUCAUUGGGCGUAAAGAGCUCGUAGGCGGUUCGAUAAGUCGGGUGUGAAACCUCCAGGCUCAACCUGGAGACGCCACCCGAUACUGUCGUGACUAGAGUCCAGUAGGGGAGCGUGGAAUUCCUGGUGUAGCGGUGAAAUGCGCAGAUAUCAGGAGGAACACCAGCGGCGAAGGCGGCGCUCUGUGCUGGAACUGACGCUGAGGAGCGAAAGCGUGGGGAUCGAACAGG
rnacentral:rRNA from 1 species